UGGCUCAGAGGUUAAAGCGUCUGCCUGCAAUGCAGGAGACCUUGGUUCGAUCCCUGG
rnacentral:tRNA from 1 species